rnacentral:rRNA from 1 species
GAUGAACGCUGGCGGCGUGCCUAAUACAUGCAAGUCGAGCGAACGGACGAGAAGCUUGCUUCUCUGAUGUUAGCGGCGGACGGGUGAGUAACACGUGGAUAACCUACCUAUAAGACUGGGAUAACUUCGGGAAACCGGAGCUAAUACCGGAUGAUAUUUUGAACCGCAUGGUUCAAAAGUGAAAGACGGUCUUGCUGUCACUUAUAGAUGGAUCCGCGCUGCAUUAGCUAGUUGGUAAGGUAACGGAUUACCAAGGCAACGAUGCAUAGCCGACCUGAGAGGGUGAUCGGCCAAACUGGAACUGAGACACGGUCCAGACUCCUACGGGAGGCAGCAGUAGGGAAUCUUCCGCAAUGGGCGAAAGCCUGACGGAGCAACGCCGCGUGAGUGAUGAAGGUCUUCGGAUCGUAAAACUCUGUUAUUAGGGAAGAACAUAUGUGUAAGUAACUGUGCACAUCUUGACGGUACCUAAUCAGAAAGCCACGGCUAACUACGU